rnacentral:lncRNA from 1 species
AAUUCAGCUGAAUGAGAUUAAACACCUCCCAGGAUUGCUCUUGGCUUCUUUGUGGUGGUUGUCACCUUUUACCCAUCUGAGCUGCAGGACUACAAAAUCAUUAUCCCUUCGAUUCUGCUGUUCUGCAUGCCAGCAUUUUGCUUUUUCCUUGUUCCUCUGCACGUACUCUAGGCCUGGAUCUCUUCAUGCUGAAAGAAAAAGGAAAUGUGACCAGUAACUUCAAGGGCAGAAGGAAGAUGAGUCUGCUUCCUGCUGGGAAUUCACCGCUCUUAUUUCCCUCUCUACAUCCCAGCAAUCAGCCAGGAUCACCUGGAACUUAUUCCCUUGCUCCCAGUUGUACCUCUACAUGCCACCAUGCUGUUAGCGUGUUUGCAUUGGUACAGCACCCGGAUUCUUACUGGAGGGAAUAUUUGAACAAUUACGGGUCUGUUCACAGCCCCGUUCUGGCCUGGGGCUAAGCCAGGGGGUUGUUUGAGGACGGUGGUGUUUGGAGCCUGCCAGCUGACUGGUACCAGUGGGAUCAUACUGGAACAGACGGAAAGACCAGCAAGCCUAGAGGACAACGUAACAGCUGAGAAGCUCCCCCUGCACCCAGAGUAAAAACUGAGGAGUUUUUAGUGUUUUGAUACACCUUACACACCAGACGGCACAAGUCCAAGCUCCACCAGGAGAUCUCCCUCUCCUCAGCUGUCCCACUUCUAGGGACAUUCAUGGGGACCAAAGAGCUGGCAGUGCCUGAGCACUGGUUGGGAAAGGGGACUGUGUGUGCCUGAGUGGCCUGGAAAGUUGGACAUGGGUCCAGAUGUCACAGCAAAUAGGUUUGGAGCCUCUUGCAUGAGGGUGGGUUGUCACAGCUUCCCAACUCCAGGAGAGCAAUGAUCCCAGCUCUUGUGGCCGGCACAUCUUCAGAACACAUUUGAUGACAUUUUUGUCAGUUUUUAAGCAACGUGGACUACUUUAAAUGGGGAAAACAAACAAACAAACAAAAAAGAGUUUUUUGGGAAACGAACAAACAAAGAGUUUUUUGGGUACCAUUGGGGUCACUCUCUUCUUCUCCCCCAACACCCACUUUUCCUUCUUCAAUUAAAAUAAAGGAAAAAACAUACCAUUUAAACUUUGCCUA